rnacentral:rRNA from 1 species
GAACGCUAGCGACAGGCCUAACACAUGCAAGUCGAGGGCAGCACAAGGAGCAAUCUGAGGUGGCGACCGGCGCGACGGUGAGUAACACGUAUGCAACCUGCCUGUAAGACGGGGGAAUAACCCGUUGAAAGACGGACUAAUACCGCAUAAUACUAAAUUACUGCAUGGUAAUUUAUUUAAACAUUUAUGGCUUACAGAUGGGCAUGCGCAUGAUUAGCUAGUUGGAGAGGUAACGGCUCCCCAAGGCAACGAUCAUUAGGGGUUCUGAGAGGAAGGUCCCCCACACUGGUACUGAGACACGGACCAGACUCCUACGGGAGGCAGCAGUGAGGAAUAUUGGUCAAUGGACGAGAGUCUGAACCAGCCAAGUCGCGUGCAGGAAGAAUGUUCCCUAUGGAUUGUAAACUGUCUUUUGCGAGGGGAAAUAAAGUGCAUCACGUGUGAUGUUUUGUAUGUACUCUGCGAAUAAGGAUCGGCUAACUCCGUGCCAGCCGCCGC